UACGGAAUGUGCAAACGUUAUUCGGAAUCACUGGGCUUAAAGAGUCCGUAGGCGGCAUGUUAGGUGAGGUGUGAAAUCCCCCGGCUCAACCGAGGAAUUGCGCUUCAAACCGGCGUGCUAGAGGAAGAUAGAGGUGGGCGGAACUGAUGGUGGAGCGGUGAAAUGCGUUGAUAUCAUCAGGAACACCGGAGGCGAAGGCGGCCCACUGGUCUUUCUGACGCUGAGGGACGAAAGCUAGGGAGCGAACGGG
rnacentral:rRNA from 1 species